AUUGAACGCUGGCGGGAUGCUUAACACAUGCAAGUCGAACGAGUGGCGGACGGGUGAGUAAUGUCUGGGAACCUGCCUGAUGGAGGGGGAUAACUACUGGAAACGGUAGCUAAUACCGCAUACCAUCGGAUGUGCCCAGAUGGGAUUAGCUAGUUGGUGGGGUAAAGGCUCACCAAGGCGACGAUCCCUAGCUGGUUUGAGAGGAGGACCAGCAACAGUGGAACUGAGACACGGCCCAGACUCCUACGGGAGGCAGCAGUGGGGAAUAUUGCACAAUGGGCGAAAGCCUGAUGCAGCCAUCCCGCGUGUAUGAAGAAGGCCUUCGGGUUGUAAAGUACUUUCAGCGGGGAGGCGUUACCCGCAGAAGAAGCACCGGCUAACUCCGUGCCAGCAGCCGCGGUAAUUC
rnacentral:rRNA from 1 species